CUACGAGCGGUGGAUAAUCCAGAAAAUAUUAUGUUUAUAUUAGAAUCACCAAACGAAGAGAAACUUGCCGAAUACGAGAUGAAAAUUAUAAAUAUGGAUCAAGAACAUCUUGGUAUUUCUCACAAGUCAAGUUAGCACAAACAGCGGACACGGAUAACGAAGAAAAAGCGGUAGUUGUUAAUAUGCAAGAACCUGUAAAAUUAACAUUCUCAUGCCGUUACCUUAAUUCCUUCGUAAAGGAUGGACCCCUUUGUACACAAGUGCAACUAUCUAUGUCUAAUGACGUACAUCUAGUAUGUGAAUAUAAAAUUAGCGAUAUUGGACACAUAUGAUAUUAUUUGGCUCCGAAAAUUGAUGAUUGAGAAAAUUAAGAUUCUUAGAAACUUAUUCUAAUAUAUAAGCCGUACCAUUAUUAUUGCAGAGCAUCAUAGACUUACUUAAUUUUUAUACGAACAUCGCGGUUCUGUGUGUCUUAUUUUUUGAUCGAAUCGAUUUACUUUGUAUAUUUCCUUUGUAGAUUUAUUUAUUCAGUUCUUAUAUUAACAAUUGUCAUCAUUUAUUAAACUAUUUUUCACAAAUUA